AUGCAGUCGAGCGAACAGAAGGGAGCUUGCUCCCGGAUGUUAGCGGCGGACGGGUGAGUAACACGUGGGUAACCUGCCUGUAAGACUGGGAUAACUCCGGGAAACCGGAGCUAAUACCGGAUAGUUCCUUGAACCGCAUGGUUCAAGGAUGAAAGACGGUUUCGGCUGUCACUUACAGAUGGACCCGCGGCGCAUUAGCUAGUUGGUGGGGUAAUGGCUCACCAAGGCGACGAUGCGUAGCCGACCUGAGAGGGUGAUCGGCCACACUGGGACUGAGACACGGCCCAGACUCCUACGGGAGGCAGCAGUAGGGAAUCUUCCGCAAUGGACGAAAGUCUGACGGAGCAACGCCGCGUGAGUGAUGAAGGUUUUCGGAUCGUAAAGCUCUGUUGUUAGGGAAGAACAAGUGCGAGAGUAACUGCUCGCACCUUGACGGUACCUAACCAGAAAGCCACGGCUAACUACGUGCCAGCAGCCGCGGUAAUACGUAGGUGGCAAGCGUUGUCCGGAAUUAUUGGGCGUAAAGGGCUCGCAGGCGGUUUCUUAAGUCUGAUGUGAAAGCCCCCGGCUCAACCGGGGAGGGUCAUUGGAAACUGGGAAACUU
rnacentral:rRNA from 2 species